GGUAAAGUGAGGCCGAAAAGGAGAUAAGGCAUGGCUGAUGCCCGUAUUUACAAAAGAUUUCUGCGGCUGCUUCUGAGAACUCAUUUCUACACAGGGUCAAGUCCCAGGAUGGUUUUCUGAUGAUGACAGAGUGGCUCCAUUCUGGCGUUAUGUUACACUCUCCAUGCUGAUCUUAGUGAACCCUGUCUCCGUGGGUUUAUGCAAAUGAAGCACAGGCCGUCUCUUCUUAGAGAUGUGAAGCCCAUUUUGGAACAAUGGACUUACCUAUGGAAGACUACUUGAGGAAGCAGUUUUUAUCACCAUGGAAGAACAACCUACUAUUCCCUGCCAUACCCUACACUCGACAUGUAUGAGAAUUAGAGCAACCUAUAUCGUGACACAUUAGAAAAUUUUGUUCAAUAAUCAAUCAGUGAUUUCAUCCAGGAAAACAGGACCUUCCAGGCCUUUUGCCUAGGAAUCUGCCGGGACAUACCCUACGACAGGUUACAUUUCGGCAGUGGGAGGAACCCUGCUUACUUCGCAGAUAACACUGAUGAACAUGGCCAUGCAGAUUACAUGCAAGAACGCUUUUUUCUCCCCUUCCCCCCCCUCCCCGCCCCCGCAAGCUGCUGGAAUUAAAAGUUGCAUUUUUCUCACCACAUACCUCCCUCAGAGCUGAGUGUGCAUUUGCAAGACAGCUGAAGGAGCGUCUUGCUGAAUGUUUCAUGUGACAAUGGGGGCGGUUCAGGGCUUCCUGCCGCUGCUGGUGAUCCUGCUAACCUUUCCUUUGUGAUCUUAGCAGUUAAUGAGACUGUAAACCAGCAUCCAAGCUGAUUGAAUGCAGGUUUAAAGGGCAAAACGAAAACAGUGGUUGUUUAAUGAUUAAACAACCUUUUUUUUUAAUGGCUAAACAUCGAAGCUGUUUUAUUUUAAUGUGUAAAUCAAUGCAGGAUGCAAACUGCGUUCAGGUUGAAACAGAGUUUCACGGCACUGUUGCGCUUAGGGGGGAAAAUUGCUGCUAUUACUUUAAAAACUCAAAUUUGUAAACCAGCCUUUGAAAGCCUAGCCUCCACCCCUCCUCUCUCACCUCCCAGGAAUUAAUUCUAUAGAGACAAAGUUAAACACAUAAUUUGUAAAACUAUUGAGAAGUAAACGUCUUGUUCCACAGUAACCCGGGUAGUUGUCAAAAGCAGAUAAAUCUUCACCUCGUGUAGGAAGCCCCACACUGUGUUGAAAACAAUUCGUAGGCUUUGCGGCUGUUGAAAAGGAUUGAAGGCGCAGACCUCGGCACGCUGCUCUUGCUCUCACUUACUGUUUUUCAGGGCAAAGUUAACACUUUUCAAGAAAUCAGCAGCCUCCCUAAUAAACACAGUGGUUUACUGGCGAUUUUGAUUGUUUUGGGUUGGUGUCCCUGAGAAGGGAGGCUUCACUUCUUCGGCUCUGUGCAGGUGUGGGAAGAGCGCCGUGUUGAUGAGAUCCCUGGGAGUUGGAAGCAUAUUGUCGUCUGUAAUUUCUUCCCUAAAUAGAUUUCAUGGGAAGAGGAUGCA